CCUACGGGUGGCAGCAGUGAGGAAUAUUGGUCAAUGGACGAGAGUCUGAACCAGCCAAGUAGCGUGAAGGAUGACUGCCCUAUGGGUUGUAAACUUCUUUUAUAUGGGAAUAAAACGUUCCACGUGUGGGAUUUUGUAUGUACCAUAUGAAUAAGGAUCGGCUCACUCCGUGCCAGCAGCCGCGGUAAUACGGAGGAUCCGAGCGUUAUCCGGAUUUAUUGGGUUUAAAGGGAGCGUAGGUGGAUUGUUAAGUCAGUUGUGAAAGUUUGCGGCUCAACCGUAAAAGUGCAGUUGAAACUGGCAGUCUUGAGUACAGUAGAGGUGGGCGGAAUUCGUGGUGUAGCGGUGAAAUGCUUAGAUAUCACGAAGAACUCCGAUUGCGAAGGCAGUUCACUGGACUGCAACUGACACUGAGGCUCGAAAGUGUGGGUAUCAAACAGGAUUAGAUACCCCAGUAGUC
rnacentral:rRNA from 1 species